rnacentral:misc_RNA from 1 species
GAUGAAGAACGUAGCGAAAUGCGAUACUUGGUGUGAAUUGCAGAAUCCCGUGAACCAUCGAGUCUUUGAACGCAAGUUGCGCCCGAAGCCAUUAGGCCGAGGGCACGCCUGCCUGGGCGUCACACGUCGUUGCCCCCCCAUCUACUCCUUCGGGAUGGCGGGGGGCGGAUGAUGGCCUCUCGUGCGCCUCGUCGCGCGGUUGGCCUAAAUGCCAAGUCCUCGGCGACGCACGCCACGACAAUCGGUGGUUGCGAAACCUCGGUUGCCUGUCGUGUGCGGUCGUCGCGCAUCGAGGGCUCGAAAAAAUUGCCGGGCUUCGGCUCGACUUUCAACGCGACCCCAGGUCAGGCGGGGUUACCCGCUGAAUUUAAGCAUAUCAAUAAGCGGAGGA